GACGAACGCUGGCGGCGUGCUUAACACAUGCAAGUCGAACGGUAAGGCCCCUCGGGGUACACGAGUGGCGAACGGGUGAGUAACACGUGGGUGAUCUGCCCUGCACUUCGGGAUAAGCUUGGGAAACUGGGUCUAAUACCGGAUAGGACCACUGCCUGCAUGGGUGGUGGUGGAAAGCUUUUGCGGUGUGGGAUGGGCCCGCGGCCUAUCAGCCUGUUGGUGGGGUGAUGGCCUACCAAGGCGACGACGGGUAGCCGGCCUGAGGGGGUGACCGGCCACACUGGGACUGAGAUACGGCCCAGACUCCUACGGGAGGCAGCAGUGGGGAAUAUUGCACAAUGGGCGCAAGCCUGAUGCAGCGACGCCGCGUGAGGGAUGACGGCCUUCGGGUUGUAAACCUCUUUCAGCACCGACGAAGCGCAAGUGACGGUAGGUGCAGAAGAAGGACCGGCCAACUACGUGCCAGCAGCCGCUGUAA
rnacentral:rRNA from 1 species